AGCAGUCCCGCGGGAAUACGGAGGGUGCAAGCGUUAAUCGGAAUUACUGGGCGUAAAGCGCACGCAGGCGGUCUGACAAGUCAGAUGUGAAAUCCCCGGGCUUAACCUGGGAACUGCAUUUGAAACUGUCAGGCUGGAGUCUUGUAGAGGGGGGUGGAAUUCCAGGUGUAGCGGUGAAAUGCGUAGAGAUCUGGAGGAAUACCGGUGGCGAAGGCGGCCCCCUGGACAAAGACUGACGCUCAGGUGCGAAAGCGUGGGGAGCAAACAGGAUUAGAUACCCGCGUAGUCCCUGUCUCUUAUACA
rnacentral:rRNA from 1 species